rnacentral:rRNA from 1 species
UACAGAGGAGCCAAGCGUUGUCCGGAUUGACUGGGCGUAAAGCGCACGCAGGCGGAUGCGCGCGUGGGGUGUGAAAUCUGGCCGCUUAACGGCCAGGCGCCAUCCCAUACGGCGCGUCUGGAGUGAUGCAGAGGUCGAUGGAAUUGCCGGUGUAGUGGUGAAAUGCGUAGAGAUCGGCAGGAACACCCAGGGGGGAAACCAGUCGACUGGGCAUCUACUGACGCUGAGGUGCGAGAGCGUGGGGAGCGAACCGGG